ACCGUUCCCCGUUGGGCCCUUCCCUAGCAGAGCCCUCAGCAGCCUCUGCAAGCAGAGGGAAGUGAGGAAGCUUCAGUUUGCGUGCUGCAGAGGUAUGGAGCUGUCCUACCCCGAACCCGGCUGAGGAGGAAGGCCGCAUUCCCACGCAGUGGGACAGCAGAGCGGGAGGCCGUAGGAGAACCUUAGCAACGACGGCACGGUCCCCUUCUUACCGCUCCUCAGAAACGAGAGAAGCAAUUGCACAGCAGCCUCGCCUGUCCGUGAGAGGUACUGCAUGAGAAGCACGCAAGAGUGGAGCGACCUCAGUCAGCUCGAACUUUUCAGGUGGAGCUUUAUGGGGUGAGCCUCCGUUCAAUGGGCGCCAGAAGCUGCCCCAUGUGGGACCAGGUCUCCUCAGCUGCUGGAUGUGUUCCAGAAGGCACUUGAAAAGUCAAGAUUGCCAAGAGAAUAAUUGGAAAAGAUGUGCGUGUUUUUCUGAGUCUGUGAUUUUUUGUUUUGCCACCCAGCCUGAGUGUGCUACGAAGGAGCCUGCCGCCUUGUGUGCUCUGUGCACUCACAGGACAGGCAGGAGAGCGUGUUCUAAAUAGCCCUCAGCCCCAGAGUGCCCUGCUCUCUGCCCAGUGGCUGUAGCUACUGCUGCCAGUGAGCUCCAGCCAGUCUGGAGACACGUGGGGCUCUGGUCAGUUUUGAAUGGUGGCCAUAAAGCCAAGGUAGUGUUGGUAUGUCUUUGCAAGAGGAUGGAUAUGCAUACACAUACAUAUAUCAACACAGCAGAGAAAGAAGAACAAAGGCAGAAUGCAAUGGAUCCACCCCAGCAAGACUGCAGCCAUUGCCCCUCUCAUCUUCCGCCCCGUCUCUGAAGGCCUCUCAGCACUCUGAGCAUACAAAUGCCCUCCUGCAAAGUGGGCUCCAAUGGGUUCUGCACCGAAGCAAGGAAGUUCAGCGCACGAGCAGCCUGCAAGAUCAGCCCUCUGGGACAAGCAGUCUGUGCUCAGUGUCAGACACAUCAGGGAGCCGAAAUUGAAAAGCUAGUCCAGUGCUUGCUGGGCACAGGGCUUCCAUGACGUGAUUUCAAAUGGCUAUGUUGCUUUUACACUUGACAGUAAAGCAUAAGCACCUGAC